rnacentral:rRNA from 1 species
GGAACCCUGACGGAGCAACGCCGCGUGCGGGAGGACGGCCUGUGGGUUGUAAACCGCUUUUCUCAGGGAAGAAGUUCUGACGGUACCUGAGGAAUCAGCAUCGGCUAACUCCGUGCCAGCAGCCGCGGUAAUACGGAGGAUGCAAGCGUUAUCCGGAAUUAUUGGGCGUAAAGCGUCCGUAGGCGGUGAGUUAAGUCUGCUGUCAAAGCCUGCAGCUCAACUGUGGAGUGGCAGUGGAAACUGAUUGACUAGAGUGCGAUAGGGGUAGAGGGAAUUCCCAGUGUAGCGGUGAAAUGCGUAGAUAUUGGGAAGAACACCAGUGGCGAAGGCGCUCUACUGGGUCGCAACUGACGCUGAGGGACGAAAGCUAGGGGAGCG